GGCGGUGGAUGGUGGUGAGGUUGUAUGGGCGGUGGAUGGUGGUGAGGUUGUAUGGGCGGUGGAUGGUGGUGAGGUUGUAUGGGCGGUGGAUGGUGGUGAGGUUGUAUGGGCGGUGGAUGGUGGUGAGGUUGUAUGAGUGGUGGAUGGUGGUGAGGUUGUAUGAGUGGUGGAUGGUGGUGAGGUUGUAUGAGUGGUGGAUGGUGGUGAGGUUGUAUGGGUGGUGGAUGGUGGUGAGGUUGUAUGGGUGGUGGAUGGUGGUGAGGUUGUAUGGGUGGUGGAUGGUGGUGAGGUUGUAUGGAUGGUGGAUGGUGGUGAGGUUGUAUGGGUGGUGGAUGGUGGUGAGGUUGUAUGGGUGGUGGAUGGUGGUGAGGUUGUAUGAGUGGUGGAUGGUGGUGUCUGGGUGCUUGCGGUGGCUGGCUUUGCAACACAGGUCCUGGGUCCAAGCUGCUGAGAAGUGGUGAGCGGCACUGACACCCAGCCCACGGAGAAGACUGGGGGUAGCGCUUACUACUAACCACAUUGACAUGUCAGAACAAUACUUUAAAGAGUGAAAAGACUGUGGAAAUGCUUGGGGUUUAAGGAUACUUCAGGGUGAUAUAUUGAACACACAUUCAUCUUG
ensembl:lncRNA